CGAGUCACUUGGCCAUGCACUUCUCUUCAUACUUUAACACUUACUAAGCUCCACGAUGCAUCUGCGACCAUAACGUGAUUUCUAUUUUAAUUUUCAACGAUUAGAAAACCUGUACGUAUACUUAAAAACUUCCGCGCAAUUGGAUCCCGAUAGAUGGAUAAGAAAGGAUUGAAAAAGUGGCAAUGUCCCAAGUGCCCGAAAACGAUAACAAGAAAGUCGAACCUGGCUAAUCAUCUUGCCACGCACGAUCCCGAUGCGAAAGUGAAAUGCCAGAUUUGUCGGAAAAUUUUAAAAAAUCCACCCACCUUAACCGUUCACAUGUGGAGUGCUCACACCAACCGGGAACGACCCAGGUGCCAAUUCCCACAACUUAAAGGAACAUGUUAAAGCCAUGCAUGGUACGAUGAGGAAACGGCCCCGUAUUUCGUGUACGUUUCCCGGCUGUGGAAAGACCUAUCAAAACAAGCGUAGUCUUUUGCAACACGUGAAAACUGAACAUGCCGAAAAUCCGGUCCGAUAUCGGUGCACAUUUUGCGGAAAGGAGUUCAAAAUGAGGCCUGUUCUUGAGCGACACAUUUCUACCCACACGACCGAGAAGCCAUACAAGUGUGCCACUUGUGGCAUGCGAUUCGCUCGAAGGGAGACAUAAAAGAUCACGAGUAGUCCCGGAAUGCUCAGAAAUUCAAUUUUCACAAGUAUUCAAGACUAACUCCAUCAGCGGCAACACUACCAAGAUGAAUAUUCAUUUUACAGGUGACGCAUUUGGACAAAUCUGCCCGACACGUGUUGCAUUGUCACAUUUGUCCUCAUGCCUUCCUGGGUAAACGCUGCCUACAACGUCACAUCCGAGUUGGGCAUGAAAAUCAGAGGAACUUUUCGUGCGCAUUUUGUGACGCGAAAUUCUUCUGGCUGGGGAAUUUGCAGCGCCACGUGGAGACGAAGCAUGCCACGAAUAAAGAGCUCAAGAUCCAUUCCUGCGACAAGUGCGAGUACAAGAGCCACUCGAAAGAAAAUUUGGCCUCGCACAAGAGACGCCACAAGGCUGCAAGUAAGGAAUGUUACUUUUGUGGGAAGAAAUAUGUCUUGUUUCAAGAUUUGGUGCAACAUUGCAGGCGCACGCAUACCUUGGAAAAGUAGAAUUAUGUUUUCAGAUUAGUAGUUAAAAUUUUGAAGUGAUAUAUACUGUUUGAUUUGUUCGGACUCCUUAAAACGAGGAUAGAGUUUUACAAGGGGAAUAGCCAAGGUGUACAGCUCCCCUAAUGGAUAAAUCCGUGAUUACAUUAGCCGAAUCAGCCGAAUUACUUUAUUAUUUAACACCAGUUAUUUUUGGUUUGGCGUAGAAGUUAUUCUAUUUAUGUAGUAUGAUUUUUACGCCAAAAUAAAAAUGUGUUAAGCAAUAUAAUAAUUCGGCUGAAUCGGCUAACAUGUAGUCGCGGCUUUGUCCAGUUGGGGAGGAGCAGCUGUACACCUUGGCCAAUUCCCUUGUAAAACUCUAUCCUCGUUUUGUGCAGUCCAAACAAAUCAAACAGUAUAAAUAUACGACAAUUUAGAUGUUAAAUUUAUUUCAAAAUUUAUUUCAAAAUUUAA